rnacentral:rRNA from 1 species
CCUACGGGAGGCAGCAGUGGGGAAUAUUGCACAAUGGGCGAAAGCCUGAUGCAGCAACGCCGCGUGAGGGACGACGGCCUUCGGGUUGUAAACCUCUUUUAGUAGGGAAGAAGCGAAAGUGACGGUACCUGCAGAAAAAGCACCGGCUAACUACGUGCCAGCAGCCGCGGUAAUACGUAGGGUGCAAGCGUUAUCCGGAAUUAUUGGGCGUAAAGAGCUCGUAGGCGGUUUGUCGCGUCUGCUGUGAAAACUGGGGGCUCAACCCCCAGCCUGCAGUGGGUACGGGCAGACUAGAGUGCGGUAGGGGAGAUUGGAAUUCCUGGUGUAGCGGUGGAAUGCGCAGAUAUCAGGAGGAACACCGAUGGCGAAGGCAGAUCUCUGGGCCGUAACUGACGCUGAGGAGCGAAAGCAUGGGGAGCGAACAGGAUUAGAUACCCUGGUAGUCCAUGCCGUAAACGUUGGGAACUAGAUGUAGGGACCAUUCCACGGUUUCUGUGUCGCAGCUAACGCAUUAAGUUCCCCGCCUGGGGAGUACGGCCGCAAGGCUAAAACUUAAAUGAAUUGACGG